AUUGAACGCUGGCGGCAGGCCUAACACAUGCAAGUCGAGCGGAUGAAGGGAGCUUGCUCCUGGAUUCAGCGGCGGACGGGUGAGUAAUGCCUAGGAAUCUGCCUGGUAGUGGGGGAUAACGUCCGGAAACGGGCGCUAAUACCGCAUACGUCCUGAGGGAGAAAGUGGGGGAUCUUCGGACCUCACGCUAUCAGAUGAGCCUAGGUCGGAUUAGCUAGUUGGUGGGGUAAAGGCCUACCAAGGCGACGAUCCGUAACUGGUCUGAGAGGAUGAUCAGUCACACUGGAACUGAGACACGGUCCAGCCUCCUACGGAAGGCAGCAGUGGGGAAUAUUGGACAAUGGGCGAAAGCCUGAUCCAGCCAUGCCGCGGGUGUGAAGAAGGUCUUCGGAUUGUAAAGCACUUAAGUUGGGAGGAAGGGCAGUAAGUUAAUACCUUGCUGUUUUGACGUUACCAACAGAAUAAGCACCGGCUAACUUCGUG
rnacentral:rRNA from 1 species